rnacentral:rRNA from 1 species
AGCAGCCGCGGUAAUUCCAGCUCCAAUAGCGUAUAUUAAAGUUGUUGCAGUUAAAAAGCUCGUAGUUGAAUUUCGGGGUUAGUAGGUUGGUCGUGCCACUGGUACGUACUGGUCUCACUGAUUCCUCCUUCCUGAUGAACUGUAAUGCCAUUAAUUUGGUGUUGCAGGGAAACUGGACUGUUACUUUGAAAAAUUAGAGUGUUUAAAGCAAGCUAACGCUUGAAUACAUUAGCAUGGAAUAAUGAAAUAGGACGUUCGAUCCUAUUUUGUUGGUUUCUAGGAUUGACGUAAUGAUUAAUAGGGAUAGUUGGGGGGCAUUAGUAUUCAAUUGUCAGAGGUGAAAUUCUUGGAUUUAUUGAAGACUAACUACUGCGAAAGCAUUUGCCAAGGAUGUUUUCAUUAAUCAAGAACGAAAGUUAGGGGAUCGAAGACGAUCAGAUACCGUCGUAGUCUUAACCAUAAACUAUGCCGACUAGGGAUCGGAUGAUGUUAAUUUUUUUAAUUGACUCAUUCGGCACCU